UACGUAGGGUGCGAGCGUUAAUCGGAAUUACUGGGCGUAAAGGGCGCGUAGGCGGCCUUCUAAGUCGAACGUGAAAUCCCCGGGCUCAACCCGGGAACUGCGUCCGAUACUGGAAGGCUUGAAUCCGGGAGAGGGAUGUGGAAUUCCAGGUGUAGCGGUGAAAUGCGUAGAUAUCAGGAGGAACACCGGUGGCGAAGGCGGGUCUCUGGGCCGAAACUGACGCUGAGGAGCGAAAGCUAGGGUAGCAAACGGG
rnacentral:rRNA from 1 species